rnacentral:lncRNA from 1 species
UGUAAUUUUACUCAAACAUAGAGUCCAAUCAGAUAUUAAAUAGACCUGCAAACACCCCAUAUAACUUCAAGAUAUUGCAACCCAAAGCGUCCAAAAGUGGGCUAAAUUUAUCAUUGUCAAUGAGAUCAAAACCUAAUCUCCUACACAACAUCAUGAUAUUGAAACUAUGUCAAAUUAAAUGGAACAUUGGAAUCCUAAAAAAGCUGUUAAAACAUAAUAAAAAACAAAAAACCCAAAACAAAAUUAUUAUGUGCAUUUUUCUGUUGUGUUAGGUUGCAUCAGCCCAUGAUUGCAACACAGAAGGAGCUAUUUUGAAUUUCUAAAGAUUUUUAUUUUAUUAUUUUUCUAAUUAAAACUCGUGUACAUGGUUAGAAACAUCACCAUAUUUUAUGCUAAGUGAAACCUUUUAAAAUAUCAAAAUAAUUCAUCUUGAUUUACUCAAGAAAUAGUGGGUUAAAGAUACCUACAAGUGCAAGUUUCAUUAACCUGAAACAUUUUUUACCCAUUAGUGGUUGGAUCACGUUGUCUUUCAUGCAUCCCUGAAACCACAUGCACAAAAAUAUUGAUUAACACACUUCCUCCAAGUCCAGAGGCUAUGGUGAAGCCAAUAUUUCGAUGUUUGUUACGAUUAUCUUAGUAAAAUGAACCAGGACAUGCAUAGAAACAAUAGACCAAAAAAAAACACCAUACUGAGUUUCAAUUAAAACAUUACACAAUAAGAAACACCACAAGCCAUCUUGUAUUGAUUCACUUUUCAUCUCUUAAGCCUUGCAAAAAAGCCUCUUACUUUGGCGACUUGUAGAUUUCUGGCCCUAAUUAUAACAUAACUUAAAAUCAAAGAAAACAAAAUCAAGAUAAACAAUUGAAUAUAAACGGAAUGUCAUUACUGUGUGUUAUCGAUGUCUUCCAACCAUAAGUAAAACCAAAAGUGAGGUCCGGGCAUAGUUCCACAAAAAGUAAACCUUAUGUAAGUAACGGAAUCAUCGGUUCACGCUUCAGCUUCAUCAUCUCCGUUUGGAUCUGGAAAAUUAAAAUACAAAAAAUGUGAGAAAAAUGAUGAACAUAGACCUAAAAAUCAAACGUGGGAAAUUAAAAUUCAAGCGUUGGGGAAAUUGAUGAACAUUGAUGACUAUGGAAAACGGCCAAAAAAACAUGGGCGACGACACACCCAGAAAAGAUAACAGAGAGCAAGAGAGAUGGAAUUGGAGUUAGGGUUAUGAGAAGAAGCAAGGUGGAGAAAUCAUACCUAGCGCCUAUACAUCAUUGAAGAAUUUUAUUGAACAAUUGGUGUGUGUCUAUAAACAACGUUAACAAAGAAAAUUUUAGUUGACGAAUUCGUGAAUAAUGAAAGCCAAUCAGAAAAUCAUUAUUCCUUACAAAGAAUAUAGAUAGAACCAUAAACACUCGAUUGAAAGAGAUGAAUAUGAAAAAAGAUACACGAACAGAUGAAGCAGGCUGAGACCCAUAAAUCAAAGGAAGAAAAUACAUAUGAAGGAAGCAGUCCAUUAUACAAAAAACAAAGACGUAUGGAAAACAAAGCACAACUUAUUUUCAAUUACCUAUCGAGGUUGUGGAUAGAUGAUCGAUUAGGAUUUUGGAGAGCAGUAGCAAUCACAAUAAAAAACCCUAGAGAGCACAUCGUCUUAUACAUAGGAAGACGAUAGAAGAUCUCAGUCAAAAUUGUGCUCCUGAUUUCUUGCAAUAAGCUUGAUUUACGAAAGAGUUAUUGUUGAUUUUAUGGGAUAAUUAAUAAUCAAAAUGAAAAUCGGACAUAGCGUUACAUAGAGAGAAGUUAGAGCGGG